GACGAACGCUGGCGGCAGGUCUAACACAUGCAAGUCGAGCGAGCGGCGGACGGGUGAGUAAUGUAUGGGGACUGCCCGAUAGAGGGGGAUAACUACUGGAAACGGUGGCUAAUACCGCAUACUAUCGGAUAACCCAUAUGGGAUUAGCUAGUAGGUGGGGUAAAGGCUCACCUAGGCGACGAUCUCUAGCUGGUCUGAGAGGAUGAUCAGCAAAAGGGGAACGGAGAAACGGCCCAGACUCCUACGGAGGCAGCAGUGGGGAAUAUGGCACAAUGGGCGCAAGCCUGAUGCAGACAUGCCGCGGGGAGGAAGAAGGCCUUAGGGUUGUAAAGUACGUUCAGCGGGGAGGCGGUACCCGAAGAAGAAGCAACGGCUAACUCCGUGCCAGCAGCCGCGGUAAUAC
rnacentral:rRNA from 1 species